UUGUAUUGACCCAACUAUCAAUUUCAUUUGACAUUUAUCUGAUAAAAAUUUAGGUUAUAUUUAUUUCCAAAAAUCUACCACAAUAAUUAGAAAAUAUGAAAAAAUAUGCACGUAGUGUUUUAUACGACAAAUUGCACCGAGGAGCUGUGCUGUGUUGCGUGGGUUUAACUUUAUAUGGAUCUUUAAUCCUUGGAGAUCAUGUAUAUAAGUAUUUCAAAUACGUUCGACCCCAAAUACAAGCAGCGAAGGCAUCUGCAGAACAAGAACUUUUAGCAGAAGGUUCAUCAGAUAAAAUGGUUUAAAACUACAUAAUCUCCAGUUAAUAAUUAUGUUAAGUAAUGUUUUGUUUAGUUUAAUUUAUUGUACAUAAUAAAGUCAAUGUUUAAUAGUUA